rnacentral:rRNA from 1 species
AGAGUUUGAUCAUGGCUCAGGAUGAACGCUGGCGGCGUGCUUAACACAUGCAAGUCGAACGGACAUUAAUGAAACCUAGUGAUUUAAAUGUUAGUGGCGGACGGGUGAGUAACGCGUGGGUAACCUGCCUUACACUGGGGGAUAACACUUAGAAAUAGGUGCUAAUACCGCAUAAGCACACAGCUUUGCAUGAAGCAGUGUGAAAAACUCCGGUGGUGUAAGAUGGACCCGCGUCUGAUUAGCUAGUUGGUGAGGUAAUGGCUCACCAAGGCGACGAUCAGUAGCCGGCCUGAGAGAGUGAACGGCCACAUUGGGACUGAGACACGGCCCAAACUCCUACGGGAGGCAGCAGUGGGGAAUAUUGGACAAUGGGGGAAACCCUGAUCCAGCGACGCCGCGUGAGUGAAGAAGUAUUUCGGUAUGUAAAGCUCUAUCAGCAGGGAAGAAAAUGACGGUACCUGACUAAGAAGCCCGGCUAACUACGUGCCAGCCGCCGC